UACGUAGGGUGCGAGCGUUAAUCGGAAUUACUGGGCGUAAAGCGUGCGCAGGCGGUUCGCUGUGUCCGAUGUGAAAGCCCCGGGCUUAACCUGGGAAUGGCAUUGGAAACUGGCGGGCUUGAGUGUGGGCAGAGGGGGGUGGAAUUCCGCGUGUAGCAGUGAAAUGCGUAGAGAUGCGGAGGAACACCGAUGGACGAAGGCAGCCCCCCUGGGGCUAACACUGACGCUCAGGCACGAAAGCGUGGGGAGCAAACAGG
rnacentral:rRNA from 1 species